rnacentral:tRNA from 1 species
ACCGCGAUAGCUCAGCUGGUGGAGCAUCUGUCCGGUAUUCGGAAGCUCGCCGAUUCGAUUCCGGUG